AUCCAUAGAAAAACUGACAAUGGU
rnacentral:siRNA from 1 species